GGUAGCCUCGGUUUCAUAUCCCCUGCCGUUACAUUAAGUCAUCUCUAAAGGCUUCCUAGUAUUAGGCCAGAAAUGUAAGGGACUUAACGCGUUCCUAGGUUACAUUCUCCGUAUUUGCUCAAGAUUAACUGCCCUUUGGUGUUCUUUUCUGAGUAUUUUCAUGCCCUUCCUCAUGAAGUCACAGGACGGGACUAAAAUGAGAGCUGCACCGUUCUUUUCCUCGUUUUCACCUCGUUAAGCUCCGGCGUCACGCUCCCGUUCUGACUUAGCUCCGGUUGACCCGGACCCUGUCUCCCGCGGGGUCUGGGGACAGGCUGUGCCAGCGUCAGCUGGGAGCGUCACCUGCGGACUGUGCAGACGCCUGGCUUCGCUCAGACCAACAAAGUAAAAACUUUCACAGGCACUGGGAUACAGAAGCAAAAGAAACUCUUCUCCCACACCCACCCCCAGGAGCUAACAUUUCUCUGGAGGAGCCAGCAGAAUAUCAAAUGAGUCCAUCAACCAGCAGCUGACUACGAAAACAUGAGCAAGUAAAGAUGACAAUACCUG